rnacentral:lncRNA from 1 species
CUCCUAUACCUUCUUCCCCUGUUUCUCUGUCUGUCUCAAACAAUGGCUAUCACAUUACAUUACAAACAAAUUUUGGAAUUCCAGGCCUUUGCCCUGAAACUCUAAAACUGACCACCUUGAAAGGUUUGUCCAAACUGCCAAUUUGCAGGUGCCACGUUGUAGCUGCUCACAGUCCUCCCAUCACUUGUCGUCACUUGGAAAGACAGGCUUUGACCAUUGAGGUAGGAGUUGCUCUGCCAGUUUUGACCCCAGUUUCUCGACAUUGAUUGCCAUCCUGUCUUAGAGCCCUUGAUUGACACAGCAUGGACAUCCCCGGCACCUGCGACGUUCGUGAUGAGGACCAAGUUGAAGUAAG